GACGAACGCUGGCGGCGUGCUUAACACAUGCAAGUCGAACGGAAAGGCCCUGCUUGCAGGGUACUCGAGUGGCGAACGGGUGAGUAACACGUGGGUGAUCUGCCCUGCACUUCGGGAUAAGCCUUGGAAACUGGGUCUAAUACCGGAUAGGAGCCAUUUUUAGUGUGAUGGUUGGAAAGUUUUUUCGGUGUAGGAUGAGCUCGCGGCCUAUCAGCUUGUUGGUGGGGUAAUGGCCUACCAAGGCGGCGACGGGUAGCCGGCCUGAGAGGGUGGAAGGCCACAUUGGGACUGAGAGACGGCACAGACGCCGACGGGAGGCAGCAGUGGGGAAUAUUGCACAAUGGGCGCAAGUCUGAUGCAGCGACGCCGCGUGGGGGAUGACGGCCUUCGGGUUGUAAACUCCUUUCGCUAGGGACGAAGCUUUUUGUGACGGUACCUAGAGAAGAAGCACCGGCUAACUACGUG
rnacentral:rRNA from 1 species